AAUACAAUAUGGAACUGUUUCUGGAAAAGUCAUAUAACUUUUUUCAAAUGAAAUUUUUUUACAAAAUUUAAUUAUUUCCAGUAAAACUCUCAUCUUAAAAUUCGUUCAGAUCUAAAAUGAUUAACUUUUUGCCUUUUAAUCAAAACGAUGCUUAGCCAAAUCAUUAUCUUUAAUAAUUAAACUAAAUAUUAUCGGUUAUUUAUUUUUAUGAAAAAUACUUUUUCCAUAGUAAGAAGAUCUAAAUGGAAUCUUUUGAAGAAUUCGGGCAGAAUAUUAAGCAUACAACUCACAUCUAAAGAUAGACAUUUGAUACAGAUAUGGCACAGAAUAUGAUUGAAUUCAAACCUUUCAUUGAGUGGCUGUGUUAUUAAUUGAAUAAAUGUGUCUUCACAUAUACGAGGGUGCAUAAAUUGGCUGUUGAUGAACUUUCUCAUAACAAAGGCUAUUACAUGAGAAAUAUUGGCAUCAAUAUAAAUAAACAAAGUUUUUCCAGUAUUGCUACCAGUUUUUCAACACAAAAAAUUUGAAAAGGGUUCGUGCAACAGCCUGUGUUGUCCUUUAUUUCAAGAAAUUUUUUGGGUGAUAAGUAAACUUUUUAUUCUUUUUGCAUUUUUCACUUUAGAGUAUUCUUAUAAAUUAAUCAUCCAAUGAAUACCUUCUUACUUAACAGAAGUGUUUUGUUAUUGAUCCUAAGUGUUUUAUCAGUUAUUAUCAUUUUCAGGAAUUGCUAUUAAAAUGCAAGAGAAAAAUUGGAAAAAAAAUCUCACAAUCUAAACGUAUUUCGUGCGAUUGUAGAAUUUCGAAAAGUCCGAAUUCGCGGCCUGACAUAUUUUCAGCCUAAUCGAUAACUGAUCAAAAUAGAAACAUGAGUUCACGUUAUUCUGUAUUUAAAAUUAUAACUCAGAUUUAUUUUGAAAAGAAAGAAAACUUACCUGUUUGAUGAUCAUAUUCACCAAUGAAUCUUUUAGUGAGAAAUCGGACUGUCAAUGCUGAAAAAAAAAAAGCAAAAAUUAGCUCUGAAACACAAUUAAUUACUAGAGUUUAGUGAUCUACUUAGGGAAGUAAAUUUUUUUGUGCUAUAUUUUUUCAUAUAUUUUUUUUCUAAACAUUGCAAAAAAUAAUUAAUAUAUCCUGUUUGGUCUUAUUUGGAUCUUUCGUUUUAAUUUUAAUAUAACAGCGCCCUCUAUUGAGGAACGUUUUAUUUAGUCAAUUGAAAGUUAAUUCUACUGGCUAGUCGUGGCUGCAAGAUUCUUAAUGAAGCUUGCUAUGGUCUAAACUAUUUGUAUAUAGAUAGAUUAUUAAUUAAAAAUUUCAUAGCCAUUACUAGAUUUGCCGUUAAUUUGCCUUUGAUAACCAACGACCUAUGAAUUCACCAAAAUAUUUUUUGGUCUUAUCUCAUGGAUAUGAAUUUUGAUUUACAUAAGUAAUAGCUACUACAACAGUGGAAUUAAAAGCCUUAGUGGCUUAAAUUUAAACUAACUGAACUGGCAAAUUGUAGUUUUUAUGCAUGCGCGUUUGUGUAAAUAACUUUCCUUGUUUUCUUAAAGAUGGCGGAUCCCAAAAUGCUUAAUCGGAAAAGUGAAAGCAUCCGAACUAAAAUCACAAAACUCAUCGAAUUUUCAAAAAGUGAGAAUAUUGAAAAUAAGAUUUUACUAGAAUCGAAAAUAAACGCUCUUGAAAUAAUAAAAGCUGAAAGGGGAUUUGAAUAUAGAUUUUAUCUUCCAACAUUCCCAUAGGUUCAAAAAAAUGUUUUGCUAAAAGAUAGAUGAAGCGUUAGUAAAAAAAUCCAGAUGCUGUUGAGAGAAAACAAACAUAUUUUUUACAUCAAUAAACAGAAAGGAAAGAGGUGUAGUAAAUUGUAAAAAAAAAAGCUUUUAAAGUUCAAGAAAUAAGUAAAAAUAAACAUUCUUGGCAUUUUAAAGCUUCGUUUAUCUUAAAAGAAUUACUUAAGUUUUGUAAAACAAGAAAAUUUUUUUGAAUCGGAUUAAUCUUCUAUAAACAUAAGAUUAAUUUCAAAAUAUUAGAUAACAUAUUUUUCACAUCUUUCUUUAAAGAAAGAAACAUAAAUUAUUAUUUUUACUUAAAGAAACUAUCCUCUUCAAUCGGUAGUGAUAUUGAAAAAAUAACCUUUAUAAUCAACUUUUGUUGGCAGACUUUAAAACUUAGUGGACGAAAGUUGUGGCGGCUCUAAUUUUCUAAUAAAAUUAGAAAUUC
rnacentral:lncRNA from 1 species